GAAGCCUACGGGGGGCAGCAGUGGGGAAUAUUGCACAAUGGGGGAAACCCUGAUGCAGCGACGCCGCGUGAGGGAAGAAGUAUUUCGGUAUGUAAAGCUCUAUCAGCAGGGAAGAAAAUGACGGUACCUGACUAAGAAGCCCCGGCUAACUACGUGCCAGCAGCCGCGGUAAUACGUAGGGGGCAAGCGUUAUCCGGAUUUACUGGGGGUAAAGGGAGCGUAGGCGGUAAUGCAAGUCAGAAGGGAAAGCCCGGGGCUCAACGCCGGGACUGC
rnacentral:rRNA from 1 species